UCUGGAUAAAUAGGUCUAUAGUACGAUAACCCUUGGCAGUAGACUGGAUUCUUCCAAAAGCAAUCUGAAUAUCACAGUCCUUUGAAGUUCUCAAAAUGUCAUAGAUGAGGGCCUUUUGAUCAACGCAUUGUAUUUGAAGCAACGUGUGAACUGGGCUCAAUAAGUUAUCCACUGUGAUGGUUGCCUUCUUUAAUUUUGCCGUAUCAGAUGCAGAGGACAUGGGAACUGCUUCCUUAGACAAUUCACAACUAAACAACUCUUCUGCAACUUCUUGUGGAAGAGAAGCGAAUCCUUGCUGAACUUCACAUUCAGGCCCCGACAACUGAAGCUCACAGCUAAUGCAAUAUUCUCCCAGAACAUUACUUAGAUGUUCACAUGUCUCAUCUCGUCUUUGUUUUGUGUGCAGCAAGUCCAUGCAAUCAGUUAUGAAGAAGAGAUCCAAAACUUUGUCGUCUGGUGUUGUCG
rnacentral:misc_RNA from 1 species